AUCCGUGGGCACAGCAGGCCCCGCCGUUGCCCUCGGAGAGGUCACCUGCCCACCGCGGCGCUCAGGCGAGAAGGUCGGCGUCGCCAGCGCCACGCCUCUAAGCGCCGCUCUGUGGCCGGGAGGCGAGGAUAACCCGACGCUCCACCGGGAGCUGCUCCAAACCCAAGGGCCCGGCUCACCCGGGGAGGGUGGGCAGAGGGCCUGCGGGUCGGGGGGAGAGGCGGCCCGAGGGCAGAAGAAAAGCCGAAGCUGUCGCCCCAUUCAGACCUUCUAAAGGGUUUCUGCUGGAAACUGCGCCCUGUGGAGAAGAGGGGACCCGCACGCCAUCUAGGAACAAAAGAUGAGGCAAUGCGGGAGCAAGGUCAUCUCUUCGGCAGGAACCAGGUGGGUGUACUAAAUGGAUACUUUCUGUUUAAAACGAAUGUGCCAAAUGCCACAAAGCCACCGUCUAAUCAGCAGAUUAGAAAGAUCUUGUCUGAGAAAUACUGUGAUGCAACCCACAUCGCUACCCAGCUCACCCUGUGUUUUAGAGUGAGUUCCUCACCAUGAACUUGGGAAUAAACUGACACUUGGCUGUCCCCGAGGUUGUGUGGCGCAUGCUGAGAUACACAACUUGCAAACUAAAAUCUGCCAGUGUACAAGUCAAAACAGGGAUUCUGCACUACCCCAGCCUGAUUGACCCUUGAUGAUUCCAUCAUUCUGCACAUGACUCCAUGGGCUGAAGAAAAGGUGAUGAAGAACAUUGAUGAUGUAUUGGAAAUUAGUGACCAUUCGUGUAAUUAAAAAAAAAAAAAGACAAUCAAGAGGUUGGGAAUGGACUCUGUGGUUAAAGAAACUUUGGGUACUGGAAAUACCGUGGAGAUUAAGUCUCUCUUUAUCUUCCAUUUAUUAUUCAGAGAUGACAUCUCCUUUUCUUCUUCACCUACUUAAGGUGUAUGGGGCAAGAAGGGGAGGUUCUCUUUGAAGGCUACAAGUUUAACUUGCUCAUUCAGUUUCUCCUUACCGUCAGCAAGAAGAAAAAUUAUAUAUGCAUAUACAUUACUUACAAAUAAAUUCAAGAAGGUGAUUCUCCUUUCUUCUCCACACCAUCUCCAAAGUCUCACUCAGCUUUUCAAAGACAAGUUAAAGUAACAGACAUUUCAGUUUGAAAAUUUAUUUCUGGAAUUUUUCCUGGCCCCAGGGAUCAUUUAAGAGCAAGCUGUGCACUCUGAGGAAAGCCGGCCCCUGAAAGAGUUGCUACUGCACAUAUUUUCCCAGAAGGAAAGAGGACAAACUGCGGGCACAUUUAAGCAGGAAACUCAUUGCAGAAGAAAACUAGAGGCAGCGAGAAGUGCAGUCCCUUCUCCUUUAUUGCUUCUCUAAUUUUUCCAAACCAAAACUCAACUGCUCUAGCUCACGUCUUUAGGGAAUAGUUUUAUGAUUAAAACAAGUCAGCAAAAAAGUAUCGCGCGUUUACUUUCUCGCGAUCCUCUAUCUGGCGAAGAAAGAGAGGGAAAACAAAGACAGCUGCGAAGCGAACUUGGUUCUCACCCUCCAAAUGGCUAGUUGUUUCUUUCUUAAAAGUAGAUUUGAAUUAACCUUUUUGUCCCAAUAAUCCGAGCCCUCUCACCACCUCUCCUUUCCCCAAAAGGCACCCACUCUAAAUUAAGUCUAUGAACUUUUCUGCUGCCAUUCUUCUUUGCUUAAAAGAGUUCUGGGAAGCAGUAUGUGGUAAGAAAUUUGUUAAUGAACCGAGAUGAAAAUGAUAAAUAUUGUUUUUCAUAUAUUUUCUGAAGAUGUAUUUUUCUCAAAGUGUGUGGAAAGAUGUUUAGAUUUUUUUUAGCCUUUUUUGUCAGCUGCCUUCAAGUGUAGUUUUAAAUUGUAAGUCUCUUGGGGGUUAAUUUUUUUUUUUUUUACAAUUCUUUCCUAAUUAUUAAAACAAUAGGGUUCCUAAUUGGCAAUUUUUAAAUGCAGAUAAAUGACAAGAGAAAUCAUGCAUCAUGCCACUGCUCAAAGAUAGUCCCUACUCACUUAAAAAAAGAAUUUGAGGUGAAAUUUAGAUAACAUAAAAUUAACCCUUUUAAAGUGAAUGAUUCAGUGGCAUUUAGUACAUUCCCAAUGUUGUACAACAACCACGUCUAUCUCGUUCCAAAACAUUUCCAUCCCUCCAAAGUAAAACCUCUCACCCAUUAAGUAGUUUCUCCCCAUCCCCCCACCCCUUUGCCCCUAGACGAAGUGAAGCUGGAAUCUCCGGUAGUGUCCAUGCUGACCCAUUCCAGCUCAGGGAAGCUCCUUGCUCCAGGAGGUAAGAGGUUCUAAGGCAGCCUCCGCCUUUUUCUCGGUGACCAUGGCCCUCAACUGAAGGGGCCGUGCAGGACCAGGGCAGGCUCUGGUAGUUUUCAGGUCUUCCUGAUAAAACCUCCUUAAAUCUGUUCAGACCAAGCAACAAUAGUGUCCCAUCCUGUCCCGUGUGGGAAGAAGAUCUGAAAGAGUGGUUGAGGCUGGUGGCAGGAUGCAACCUUGCACAUCUCCCGCUCUUGGAGAAGAGAGAGAGGCUGGGACUCCAGUCAGAGCCCUCAUUCAGUAGGAAAGUCUGUGGACCUGGAGCUGAUGGCACCUUCAACUGGGGUCCUCCAGCUGGUGCCCGAGGCAGGGUCAGCUUGAUGCCAAGUUAAGGAGGUAAGAGGCACAAAACAUGACAAGGGCUUGUCCCUUUGAAUUAUGAAUGGAAAAGAAGUGGGCAACUUCGAAUUGUCAUAAUUAAUCAGAAAUGCAUGAAAUUAGACUAUGCUUAUAUUUAACUCUUGCUUCAGAUGUACCAUCAAAAAAAGGUGUUAUCGGUGCUAAGUUUAGCUGCUUUCAUAAAGUUUUCUUUUUAUUAAAAAGAAUUCCAAAUAUGUUACCAAAUUUUCCCUUAGAAAGUUUUGCCAAAUCACACUUCCAUUCAAUCUUUAUCAGUUUGGGGGAUAGACAAUUGUAUUUCUUUGCUUUAAUUUUCACUUCCUUGAUUCUCGGGGAUAUUGAUACUUUUUCAUGAGCUUAUUGAUCAUUUAUAAUUUUCAGUCAGGAACAGUUAUUUGUAAAUACACUUCAAUAUGACUGAUUUUCCAAAUCAGAUUUACAGAUUGCCAUAAAUCAAUAGGAACACAAGUGAGAACAUCAUCAUCAUCAUCGUCAUUAUUAUUAUUUUAUCAGUGGAUUAUCUCCCAUAAUAUCCUUACUUAUACACAAUAAAGCUUAUUAAUAUCAAAGCCCCUUCAUUUUAAUUUUGUGGAUAACUGAUAAAUCAGAAUAUUUGAGAAGAGAGAAUAGCUUGGUUUGUCUUUCACUAUAUGACUCCAUAUCUAAAUAGUAUGAGUUCAACAACUAAAGAUGAAAAAAUAGGGGCACCUCAGUGGCUCAGUUAGUUAAGCGUCUGCCUUUGC